AAAUCUAGGCGGAGGUUCCCAAACUUCAAUUCUUGACUUCUGUCUGUAUGUGUGCGCCUCUUUCCUUCUCUUUCUCUCCCUAUUUCCUCUCCCCAUACUCCCACACUGACAUUUUUUCAUCCUCCACUCUGAGGACUGGUUUUAGGUAUGUAUGGGGGAGGCUGGCCUACCACAGAUUUUAUCUACUCUUUCAAAAUAAUCACAAGUUAUGCACAUACUCUGUGCAAUGUAAUAUUUUCUCCUCAUUGGAGGCUCAGAGGAAUCUUUGCAGAUUCUGCUGCAUUUACGGAAAUAUUCUUCUUUAAUAAUAAUUAGUGUGUGGCCCUGAUGACCAAACAGAUGACUAUGGAGGUUCAGAGCUCCCUUUGAGAAAUGGAAUACAGCUGAUUGACAGUCUCAAGCUGUCAUACCCCUGCAUUCUUUCUGAACCAAUUAUACCACUAGGCUGUUCCCACCCAAUGACGUAGCCGGGCAUGUACACUGGCAUAGGACCAUUUGCCUGUUGAAAGAUUCCUCUAAUGGGUAACUUUUGUUCAGGACACCCCAUAGUCCUAGCCAAGACUUUUCUUAGAGAAGCUCUGUAAGCUCAGACUCUUCCAGAUCAAUUCUUCCUUUUUCCUCUCCUUUUACAGAUAUAAAACUUACACUGUGAUCUGAAGGCUUGUCCUGCCUACUUCUUCUCCAGCUUCUUUUAUCUGUCACAGACUGUAUUAGUCUGUUUGCAUGCUGCUGAUAAAGGCAUACCCAAGACUGGGCAAUUUACAAAAGAUAGUGGUCGAGUGUACUUACAGUUCCACGUGGCUGGCUUCACAAUCAUGGUGGAAGGCAAGGAGGGGCAAGUCAUGUCUUACAUGGAUGGCAGCAGGCAAAAAGAGAGCUUGUGCAGGUAAACUCUCAUUUUUAAGACCAUUAGAUCUCAUGAGACUUAUUCACUGUCACAAGAACAGUACAGGAAAGACCUGCCCCCAUGAUUCAAUCAUCUCCCACUGGGUCCCUCCCACAACACAUGGGAAUUCAAGAUGAGAUUUGGGUGGGGACACAGCCAAACCAUAUCACAGACAUUUCAUCCAAUAAAUCUUUUGUACAUAUAAUCCUGUCUUGGCUUCUACUUCUUAGAAGACCUGAACAGACACAGUUGGAACCAGGAGUGAUCAGAGAAAACAGCUAGUAAGAUAAGGUCUGCAGGCCUGGACUGAUGGUGGAGGAUGGGGUGUCACUUAACCAUUAGAAGCCAGGGAGUCACGAUGACCAUAGUGACCAGCAAGCUUGGAAGAGCAGCCAAAGAGUCUUGGCCUACAGAAAGUUGUGAAGAUGGUUAAUAGAACCUAACUCCUUUAGGGGAAAAAUAGAC
rnacentral:lncRNA from 10 species